UACGUAGGGGGCUAGCGUUGUCCGGAAUCAUUGGGCGUAAAGAGCGUGUAGGCGGUCCGGUAAGUCCGUUGUGAAAGUCAGGGGCUCAACCCUUGAAUGCCGGCGGAUACUGUCGGGCUAGAGUCCGGAAGAGGCGAGUGGAAUUCCCGGUGUAGCGGUGAAAUGCGCAGAUAUCAGGAGGAACACCAAUGGCGAAGGCAGCUCACUGGGACGGUAUUGACGCUGAGACGCGAAAGCGUGGGGAGCAAACAGG
rnacentral:rRNA from 1 species